UCACAUACCCUUAAUUCUUAAAGAGUGUUUUAAGGAUAUAAAAAUUUAUCCUGAAAACAAUGUAAAUGUUACUGCAGCUUGUAAAAAAUGCUCUAAGCCAUUGAGGGGAAGUUUACAUUCUACAACAAACUUUUUGAAUCACUUAAAAACGAAAGGACAUGUUGAUUUGUUGACACAAUACGAAAAAUUAAAAUCUAUAUCAACCAUGAAAAAAAGAAAACACGACAAUGUUGGUGGUGAUAGUCCAGCUGCUAAAUUAUUAAAACAAACUGAUUUGGCUGUCUAUAAAAACUCUGUUGAUUUAGAUAGUUUAAUUGUAAACUUUGUUGUAAACACAAUGUCGCCUAUUUCGAUUGUAGAACAUCCAUCGUUUAAAGCUUUACUUGAAGCAACACAGCUAGUGAUGGCACGAUUAAUCAUUUGAUACACAAUAAUCGAUUAUUUUCUUUCAAUUCACGAUUUAAUUGUAUCGCAAAAUGGGUUUUGAAUAAUCGAGACAAUCGAUGAUUUGCUCAAAAAAUCGCAUCGCUAUAAGCAACAUUGGCGCGCAAAAGUUGGAAAGCGAAGCGUAAUUAUGGCACCAACAAUUAGUUUAGUUAUGAAGCGAAUACGACAAGAAAUGGCGGAGCUUUCAGAUAUAAAUAAAAGUUUAGGAAGCACUAGUGACGGCUCAUCUACUCGCGAAGUUGAGUUCGAUUUAUGGACCCACCACAAGGCACUGGUCCACAAAACCAGUAAGAAAGACGCGUAAUGUCAUCAACGCCUGGGAGGAGAUGCGUACUGUAUACCCUAAGCUAUAUGUUAUAGCUUGUCGGUAUUGUUUCUUAAUAGGCACUUCGGUACCAGCGGAACGUCUUUUUUCCAAGGCGGGUGCCACAUUAACCGAAAAAAGGAACAGGUUAACAACAGAGCUCCUUUCACAACGACUAUUUCUUAACUCAAUUUUAAAUAAAUAAACAUUUAUAUU